AGUGAACGCUGGCGGUAGGCCUAACACAUGCAAGUCGAACGGCAGCACAGGAGAGCUUGCUCUCUGGGUGGCGAGUGGCGGACGGGUGAGGAAUACAUCGGAAUCUACUCUGUCGUGGGGGAUAACGGAGGGAAACUUACGCUAAUACCGCAUACGACCUACGGGUGAAAGCAGGGGAUCUUCGGACCUUGCGCGAUUGAAUGAGCCGAUGUCGGAUUAGCUAGUUGGCGGGGUAAAGGCCCACCAAGGCGACGAUCCGUAGCUGGUCUGAGAGGAUGAUCAGCCACACGGGAACUGAGACACGGUCCAGACUCCUACGGGAGGCAGCAGUGGGGAAUAUUGGACAAUGGGCGCAAGCCUGAUCCAGCCAUACCGCGUGGGUGAAGAAGGCCUUCGGGUUGUAAAGCCCUUUUGUUGGGAAAGAAAUCCAGCUGGCUAAUACCCGGUUGGGAUGACGGUACCCAAAGAAUAAGCACCGGCUAACUUCGUGCCAGCAGCCGCAGUAA
rnacentral:rRNA from 1 species